CGUUUGCAAAUUACUUUAUCCAAACUGAAGCUUCCAAGAAAAGACCCCAAUCAGUGGCUGUAUAUCAUCUACAUCCAUCCACUUCUUACUAAAAAUCAUCCAUCGUCCUUUCUUUCAUUCUUGCAUCUAAUCACAUUUAUUCAAUAGGUGAUGUAUUUUUGAGUUCCAUAGGUGAUAAAAGGAGAGCUAAAUUCGAAACUAGAGAAAGCAAUUCCAGAAUUUAGGGUUUGCAUUGUUGUUUUCUCGAAAAAUCAUGCUUCUUCUAGCUGGUGUCUUAAGGAACUAGUUAAAAUACUCAAGUUAAAGCAGAUAAUUUUGCGUAUCUUAUACGAUGUCGAUCUUCUCAAGUGCGAAAGCAAAUUGGGUGUUUUGGUGAAGAUUUGGGUAUACAGAAAGGACGAUUAUUUUGGGUUUUACCAGAUGUUGCUGACGGGUAUCAUCUCUUAGUCCUUUCUAAACGAAGUACUCCUAGAGUAGGUAUUUUGAUACUAUUAACUUUGACACAUUGAGAUUUAGUCACUUUUUUUUUUUUUUUUUUUUUUUUUGAUUAGCGCCGGGUGUCCGAGUCUCUUUGAGCCCCGACUAAUCCCGGGGGUGCACAGGCCCUCGGCAAGGAGUUUCCCGCAAGUGCACCACGGGUAAUUCAGGGUUUCCCCAGUCCGAUGGCCCUCAGAAAUUGUUUGCACCCAGCGGGUUUCGAACUUGAGACCUUGAAAGGGAGCACCCCAAGGCUCAAGUCAAUUGCCACCAGACCAACCCCUGAGAUUGAGAUCUAGUCACUUAGCACUUAAUAAGUACAAAUUUAAAAACAUAAAGUUAAUUCCUUUCUUGAUUAUAUAAGCGGGCACUUAUUUUGAACCAAAAUAAAAAAGCUAAGUGGACACUUAUUAUGAAGAACCCGAGGGAGUAUCAGUAUAUUCUAUAGCUUCAAUGUGCAUAUUUAAAUUACUUAAAUGCUUAAAUAAUUUAAGGUUGUUAAGAAUAAUAGCUAAGAGACCUAAAGUUAAGUGCUAGGGAAAAAAACUUUAAGUGUUGGCUCUUAUUGUUGAGGACGUUAUUUUGUUCCUGUUAUUAGUUAUUAUUGUUGUUAUAAUGUUUCUUCUUUUGCUAACAAUUUGUAGGCAUGAAUCUAAAUUUAUCGAGAAUAUUAUAGAAUAAGUCAUGCCAGAGGUGAACCAAACACCUCUAUAUGUUGCUUGGUACCCAGUUGGAGUAUAUACUCGUGUCAAAGAAAUAGAGUUGUUAUCACAAAAUGAAUGUGUUGAUGAAGUUCACAUGAUUGGUAUAUUUGGCAUUGGUGGAAUAGGAAAAACAACUUUGACAAAGGCAAUCAAAUUAAUCAAAGCAAGACUCGGGUCCAAGAAGGUUCUAAUUGUCCUUGAUGACGUGGACCUUAAAAGGCAAUUAAAAUCCUUAACAAGAGAAAGAAGUUGGUUUGGUCCGGGUAGUUUAAUAAUAAUUACAGCCCGAGACGAACAUUUGAUAAAUGGGCUUAGAGCAAAUGAUGCCAAUUCGAGGCUAGAAGAAGACCAGUUGGUUGCUAUUUGAUUGUUAGGAUCGGAAGAAAUGUGAGAUUUUAAGGAAAGAAGAGCUACUUCUAAUCGGGAGUGCAGUACCAAGAUCGAUAGAGCAAUUGAUGCAAUUUUCGGGUUUGGUCGACAGGGUAUUUCACUAAUAUCUCAACUUUCUUCACGUGGAAUUUCUCCAAUUGUGUUUUCACAUAGUCUGAAAGGAGAGGGCAAUGGUGGAGGUAUACUAGUUCUUGGUGAGAUUUUGAAUCCGAGCAUCCUCAGCAAAUACCUUUUCCCUCCCAAUUCAUCUCGGAGCUUCUUGACUAUUAUAUUCCUGCUUUGGACCUCAACUUUCCUCUUUGUCGAUGAUUCGAGGAUUAGUUCAAAAAACUUUAGUUUCAGACAUUUCAGGUAGACACAAACAAACUCUCUUUUCAAAGUGUUGUCUGAUCUGUUCAUCAUUGAAAAUUAUCUUAGCUACUUGAAUUGAGCAAAUUGAGUUGUUACCUCUCCGCACUCGUAGCGGACACCCGCAUCCGAGUCCGAGCAACUUAAGUAGUUAUUGGAAAAUGAAUAUGUAGAUGAAGUUCACAUGGCAUUGGUGGAAUAGGAAAAAUAACUUUGGCAAAAGGUAUCAAGAAGUCUGCGAUGUUCUACAAGGAAAUAAGAUCUUUCUUAUGGUCUGGUACUGCAGAACAUUGGUUUCCUGGGCAAAAACCUGCCUCCCAAAGGCAGCAGGAGGGCAAAAUGUGAUGAAUAUUUGUCUUUGGAACAGAGCUGAAGUAAUCAAACAACUUUGGGCAAUUGCUGACAAGAAGGACUGCCUCUGGAUUAGGCGGGUGCACAGCUAUUAUUUGAAGAAUGAAUCAGUGGACUCUCUCAACAUCCCUGGUAAUGCAACUUGGGUUAUAAGAAAGAUAAUUGAGACUAGAAAGUUCAUCCUCCAAUCAACUUUCUCUUCAGGGAGCCUUUCAUGCUAGGUUGGCAAUUGGCAUCUGAUGUCAAGGGGAAUAAAUUGUCAAUCAAGAGCAUGUUGUCACCCUGCUUCCAAUUCAUCCCAAAGUCCCAUGGAAAUCUCUCACACUACAACCAAGCAUUCAUCCAAGACAUAUAUUUACUUUGUGGUUAGCAGUGCAGAGAAGCCUAGCAACAGUGGAUAAAUUGCUUAGAUUUGGUAUCCAUGUGCCCCUGAAUUGUGUCUUUUGCAACUCUCCAGUUGAAUCAUUUGACCACCUAUUCUUCUCAUGUUCCAUCACUAAAGCACUAUGGCAGAGACUUCUACUGUGGUUGGGCUUUCAAAGAAGUAUUGGUUACUGGCAGGAGGAAAUACAAUGGCUCUGUAGUUGGGUAAAAGAGAGAACUCGUAGAGGUGAGAUCACCUGCUGUGUAUUUGCUAUUGUGGAUGCAUCUAUCUGGAAAGAGAGGAAUGGCAUCAGGUUUCAAAGAAGCGUUUAUCGGUGUGACAGGCUGUGCAGGGAGAUACAUAUCCACGUACAAGGCAGAAUACUCUCAAAGUCGCAGGCUCCUUCGGCUCUUCUGAACACCAUGCCCUGAAGUCUGCUGUUUUUUUUUUUUUUUUUCUGCUUGUAUUGUUAUUCUUAUGCUCUCUGUAACCUCGUGUUGAGAGGGACCUGUUUACCCUCCAUUUCUUUCUUCUAGUCUGUUAGUUACUUGUUGCUUUUGAUAGGUAUAGUAUUGUUAUCUAGAUCUGUAGUUAGGCUCCUUGUAAGUUGAGUCUUGGUCUUCAUUUUUGAGAAACAGGUGGUAACUAUUGCUUUGGAAUUAAUAAAAUCCUUUUAUUUACCCAAAAAAAAAAAAUUAAUUCUGUUUGUUUGACCUUCUAUUUGUAUAUAGCAUUUCUCUCCCUAAUUUUCUGGGACUUAAACAUGGUCUUAAGGCACUUCUCGUUUUACUGAAUUACAGGGUUCCAAAAAAGGUAGAAGCACCAAAGGUAGAUCCAUGGGCGUUAAAACGUGCGAACUUGAGGGCCAAAGAAUUUAAGAAAAUGAAAAAUCUUAGGGUGCUUAUUGCUUAAAAUCGACCAAUUAAUGGAGAUCUUGAGCUGUUGUCUAAAGUAGGCACCAUCGUAUUUUCCACCUGAGAAACUUGUAUUUCUAAAUAUGCAAGGGAGUAAUAUGCAAGAACUUGGCUUAACUUUGCAGUGUUGCAAAAGUUGAAGAUGUUGGAUCUCUCUGAUUGCAAGCAACUCACUCCAAACUUCAAUGGCUCACGAAGUCUGGAGACUUUGUUGUUCAAGGCUGACAGAGAUCCACAAGUCAAUAGGAAAUCUGGACAGACUAAUUGAUUUAUGGAUCUUCCGAGCAACAUAUGCCAGCUAAAAUCCCUUAAUCCCGGGAC